rnacentral:sRNA from 1 species
AGGAGCUGAGGGCGCUGGGCAGCGGGGGCCCGCGGCGGGAGCGGGAAGCGCGGGGUCCUGGGUGGCCGCCGCGAGCUGGGAAGACUCAACAUAAAUCCGACAGUGUUAAUAACAUGCAUCAUCUUCUCACACCCUCUGUUCCACCUAUGACUUACAGAAAUUCCAACAUAAUGUGGAUGUCCAGGAGACUGACUGUUCCAAAUCGUUCCCGGCCUACUUUUUGUGUGAGAAACUGAAGAUGGCAAGGAUAAGAUCCGGGUGUGCUGUCACAGGGAAACAGCCAACUGAGGUCCGUGGAGGACUCUGUAGAGCAGACCACUUCCAUGACUUAACUGCAGCCUGUACGAGAGAGGAUGGACUUUGUUAUACUUAAUUUGCGUUCACUAGGUUUUGGACUAUUGCUGGCCCUCGUACACAAGGAUAAUUAUAUCUCCUCCUUCCCAAAACUUUGAAUUAUAAGUAGACCGAAAGCAAGGAGGGAGACCAGUUGGAGUUAAUUUUAGUGACUGUCAAGAUUCUAAGAAGCCCUGGAGCCUGGAUCACCUUCUCUAGAAUGCCAGUUUAGUUCCCACCAAUCUCAAAACUAAUUUUGCAAAUGUUCCAUUGAUUCUGUGACAUACCUGUGAUCUUUUCAACAAACCCUGUUUGUUUAAUUUUGUCAAAAUUCAUUUUGCAAUUUGGAGUACUAUGUGUGGAGCAAUACAAAUUUCAUAUUUAAGAAUAUUUCCUAAAGAGGAACAAUCAAUCCUCCAUUGUUGGUGGGAUUGCAAGCUGGUACAACC